UACGGUUACAUCACGUUGAAACACCGUCACCCGUACAAUCACCGAAGUUAAGCAACGUCAAGCCUAGUCAGUACCUAGAUGCGCGACUACUUGGGAAUACCAGGUGCUGUAAG